rnacentral:lncRNA from 1 species
CUUCCUUGUUCUGCUCUGGUUGACUGGGGGAGAGGUGGUUUUGAUAAGAGGGUGACAUCGUUCAUUAGGGUCUAACAAGUGGCACUGUGAUAAAAUGAUUAAUGAAUUUGAAAAUACCCGUGAAGUAAAGAGAAUGGAGACUUAUCAAAAGAAGAAAGAAUUGGAUAAAUUACAAACUAAAAUGUCAAAAAUAAAAGAAACAGUUACUGUUUCCGCAGCGGUUCUUAGUGAUCACAAUUUAGAGAUAGCACGACUACACGAAUCAAUAAGGUAUUGGGAACAAGAGGUCAGUGAGCUAAAGAAAGACCUUGCAAUUCUGGAGGCGAAACUAUAACAAAGAAAAACUAGAUGAUAUAUCUAAUGAUGAAAAAAAUGAAUUCCUGAACAAGAUAAAACAGAAAUCAGAAACAGCUGACAUUUAUUUCUCAGAAAGAAUACUUUCUGUCACAAAAGAGAGUAGACAUCAAAAAUAUGGAAGAAGGACUCAUCACACUCCAGGAACUUCAACAAGCAACAAAAACAGUGUAUCAGCAACAAAUCAAAAUCCUGAGUGCUAACCUGGAAAGAGAAAGU